rnacentral:rRNA from 1 species
AGCGAACGCUGGCGGCAUGCUUAACACAUGCAAGUCGCACGGGCAGCUUCGGCUGUCAGUGGCGGACGGGUGAGUAACGCGUAGGUAUCUAUCCUUGGGUGGGGGACAACCGUGGGAAACUACGGCUAAUACCGCAUGAUGACUGAGGUCCAAAGCUCGGCAACGGGCGCCUGGGGCGGAGCCUGCGUACGAUUAGCUAGUUGGUGGGGUAAAGGCCUACCAAGGCUGCGAUCGUUAGCUGGUCUGAGAGGAUGAUCAGCCACAUUGGGACUGAGACACGGCCCAAACUCCUACGGGAGGCAGCAGUGGGGAAUAUUGGACAAUGGGCGCAAGCCUGAUCCAGCAAUGCCGCGUGUGUGAAGAAGGUCUUCGGAUUGUAAAGCACUUUCGACGGGGACGAUGAUGACGGUACCCGUAGAAGAAGCCCCGGCUAACUUCGUGCCAGCCGCCGCCGUAAGAC